CAUAGUCUACAGUUGUGGUUCACCUGUGGCACGGUAUUGAGACACUAGGCAUUUCGGCAUAUUGUGACUGUAUUGCUUGGGGACCUACCAUGCCACCAGAGUCAUUAUAACUUCAGAAAGUAUUAUGCAAGAUAUACUGACUGACAGAAGGUCGAUAUUCAUUCUUCCUGAUAGAAUUUACCAUAAAAAGCAUAUUUCGUCUCUUGGAAAAGCUUCGUGAAAAGGGGCACAUAGGAGAGAAAAACAACAGCAUAAAUAUGAAAUAUGUUAAGUGUUCUUUAUUUCCAUUAGGGUAGUCUGAAGCGCUACUUGCGAACUCACACAGGCGAAAAACUUUAUAAAUAUAAUUCAAUUGCAAUGUUUGUCCCAAGAAAUUUGCCUUAGAAAUCGCACUGAAGAACCCCAUGGAAUGGAAACCUACUAGCGAAGUACGCGUAAAAAUAUUGGAUAUUGCAACGGCCUGUUCAAUAUCAAUGUUGGAAACAACGGAGGACAAUUAGCCUGUUAUUGAACCAAUAAGUUCGUCAACACUCACCAAGGAAGCCCAUGAUCUAGAAUGCAACCUGAGAGAGCUUUGUAUAACAAGUGACAUUGCAAACUCAACGGAAAUCACCAGUCAGCCAUACAAGACUUCCUCCAAGAGAAACCACACCAGACUGCCAUCACUCAACCAGAUUUUCAAAACUCACCCUCCAACCAAGAGACAAAUGAAGACACGACCGGAGAGAAAAAGAGCAGAGAUAAGCAAUGGAACCAAAUCCAGAAACGCUCAAAGACACGCCCAUAGCAAUGUCGAUACCCCGAUGCCCAGUCCACCGACGGAGACAAUCGAGCUGGACGUCAGAACUGACUGCCUGACGAAGGCCGAGUGUGACAGGAUUCUCUCCGCCUCGGGCACCGUGCGUAUAAGAAGCCCAUCGGUGUGUAGGGACUGCAGCUUACUGAAGCUUCGGAACGAGAAAUGAACACUCGUCGUUGGAAAAAAAAAAAGAAAUCGGGAAAGAGAGAAUGGGAUUAAUAAAAGUGGAACAAUCCACUGAACACUGCUUGUUGAAAAGAAAGAAAAGAAAGGGGGAAAGAGAGAAUGGGAUAAAUGAUAAAUGUGGAACAAUCCACUGAACACUGCUUGUUGAAAAGAAAGAAAAGAAAGGGGGAAAGAGAGAAUGGGAUAAA
rnacentral:lncRNA from 1 species